CUUUUCUUGUUAGUUUUUGAAGUAUGGCCUGCCCACUGACUUGGAGUUGAAGGGCCGCGGUAUUUUGACCGUGCAAAGGUAGCAUAAUCAUUAGUUCUUUAAUUGUGAUCUGGUAUGAAUGGCUUGACGAGACAUAAGCUGUCUUAGGGGUAUUGGUUUAUUGAAUUUGGUUUUUGAGUUAAAAUUCUUAGAUGUUUUUAUGGGACGAGAAGACCCUAUAGAGUUUGACAAUUUUCUUAUUUAUUCAUUGUUUGUUUUAUUUACAUUGAGUGGGAAUAGAUUGUUUUGUUGGGGUGAUGGGAGGAAUAUUAUUUAACUCCUCUUUGUUUUUAUAUAUUUA
rnacentral:rRNA from 1 species